AAAUUUCUUCUCAACCAAUGCCAUAGGUUUUAUGCCACCGGGGUUAUGAUGGUGCUGCAGCAGAUGUCUGGUCAUGUGGAGUCAUCCUUUAUGUUUUAAUGGCUGGGUAUCUUCCAUUUGAUGACAUAGACCUUCCGACCUUGUACCAAAAGAUAAAUGUUGCUGAAUUUUCGUGUCCAAUUUGGUUUUCUCCUGGUGCAAAGUCCUUGAUACAUAAGAUCCUUGAUCCCAACCCAGAGAUU